UACGGAAGGGGCAAGCGUUGUCCGGAAUUAUUGGGCGUAAAGAGCUCGUAGGCGGUGUGUCGCGUCGGCCGUGAAAACCUGGGGCUUAACUCUGGGCGUGCGGUCGAUACGGGCAUCACUAGAGUUCGGCAGGGGAGACUGGAAUUCCUGGUGUAGCGGUGAAAUGCGCAGAUAUCAGGAGGAACACCGGUGGCGAAGGCGGGUCUCUGGGCCGAUACUGACGCUGAGGAGCGAAAGCAUGGGUAGCGAACAGG
rnacentral:rRNA from 1 species